rnacentral:rRNA from 1 species
GACGAACGCUGGCGGCGUGCUUAACACAUGCAAGUCGAACGGAAAGGCCCUGCUUUCAUGGUGCUCGCGUGGCGAACGCGUGAGUGACACAUGUGUGAACUGCCCCUUACUUUUGGAUAAGACUUGGAAACUGGGUCUAAUACAGGAUAGGACCAUGCUGUAGGUGGGGUGGUGGAAAGAUAAUUUUCGGUAAGGGAUGAGCUCGCGGCCGAUAAGCUUGUUGGUGUGGUAAUGGCCUAUCAAGGCGUCGACGGGUAGCCGGCCUGAGAGGGUGGACGGCGGCAUUGGUAGUGCGAGACGGCCGCGACUCCUACGGGGGGCAGCAGUGGGGAAGAUUAAUCAAUGGGCGGAAGCCUGAUGCAGCGGCGCCGCGGGGGGGAUGACGGCCUUCGGGUUGUAAACUCCUUUCAGCCAUGACGAAGCCCUUGUGGUGACGGUAGUGGUAGAAGAAGCACCGGCUAACUACGUG